AUUGAACGCUGGCGGCAUGCUUUACACAUGCAAGUCGAACGGCAGCGCGGGCUUCGGCCUGGCGGCGCGUGGCGAACGGGUGAGUAAUGCAUCGGAACGUGCCCAGUAGUGGGGGAUAGCCCGGCGAAAGCCGGAUUAAUACCGCAUACGACCUGAGGGUGAAAGCGGGGGACCGAAAGGCCUCGCGCUAUUGGAGCGGCCGAUGACGGAUUAGCUAGUUGGUGGGGUAAAGGCUUACCAAGGCGACGAUCCGUAGCUGGUCUGAGAGGACGACCAGCCACACUGGGACUGAGACACGGCCCAGACUCCUACGGGAGGCAGCAGUGGGGAAUUUUGGACAAUGGGGGCAACCCUGAUCCAGCAAUGCCGCGUGCGGGAAGAAGGCCUUCGGGUUGUAAACCGCUUUUGUUCGGGAAGAAAACCUCUGGGCUAAUACCCCGGGGGGAUGACGGUACCGGAAGAAUAAGCACCGGCUAACUACGUG
rnacentral:rRNA from 1 species